GUGGGGAAAGGCGCGGACUACCGUUAGCCGCCGCCGCGGCGUUCUCCCGAGCCGGCGUCGCAGCUGGAGGGCCUGGCAGGUUGCGUGCUCCGCUGGACAGCUGCCUGGGGAGUCCCUGCGCCGGUCAAAGCCUGUGUUUCCUCCUCGCGAGGCUGAGGUUUGGCCUUUUAGAGACGAUCCUAGAACUGGAAUGAUACAGGAUGGAACUUUCUCAGACAGGCUGCUUUCACUCAGCAAUAAUGCCUGUGACAUCCACCCAAGCCGUCAUAAGGAACAACAGCUGAUGACCUUUUUCAUUGCCAAGCAACUCUCCGUUGUAUGAAUGUACCAAAGUGGGCUUGUUUCGUUUUUUAUUCAUUCGCUUGUUGAAGGACAUCUGGGUUGUGUCCAGUUUUUGCUGGCCAUGAGGUCAUGAGUGGAGUUGCUAUAAACAUUUGUGUGAACUUGAGUUUCAUUUCUCUAAAGUUAACACCCACAUGUGAGAUUGCUGGGUCAUACAAUUAGCGUAUGUUUAACUUCAGAAGAAACUCCCAAAUGUUUUCUAGAAUGGUUGUACCAUUCUGUAUUUACUCCAACAACAUAUAAAAAUUCUAGCUGUGCCUUAUCCUUGACAAACAUGGUAUUGUAUUUUUUUAUUAUUAUAGCCAUUCUAAUAGGUAUGAGGUGGAUCUUAUUCUGGUUCUGUUUCUCUCUAGUGCCUAAUAAUGUUGAACAUAUUUUACUUGCCUAUUUACAUGCCAUCUAGACAGUCCCAAUGGGAAAAAGUCUGUUCAAGUCCUUUGCCCAUUUUUAAGCAAGUUAUGAUCUUGCUAUUGAGUUCUGACAGUUCUUUAUAUAUUCAAAACACAAGUUCUCUGUUAGUACGUCAUUUGCAAAAAUUUCCUCCCAGUUGGGAGUCUGUCUUUUCUUUCACUUAGUAGUGUCUUCACAGAGCAAAAGUUUUAAAUUUUAAUGAGACUCCAUUUACCAAUUUUUUCUUUAUGGACUUUGCUUUUGGUGGAAUGUCUUAAGAACUUAUCCCAAGUCAUGAUGAAGAUUUUUCUCCUAUGUGUGUGUGUGUGUUUUUUUUCCCCUAAAGGUUAUCAUUACAUUUAAGUCUAGAAUACAUUAUGAGUUAAGUUUUCUGUAAUGUGUGAGGUCUAAGUCAAGGCUCAGAUUUUUGCUUAUCGAUGUCCAGUUGUUCCAACACCAUUUGUUAAACUACCCUUUGCCCUGUGAUUGCUUUUGAAUCUUUGUCAAAAAUCAAUUACCCAAAUUUGUGUGCAUUUAGUUGCACACGAUUCUGCUCCACUGAUUUAUGUGUCUCCCCCUUAACCAGUAUCUGUACCUUAAUACUAAGUCUUUAAAUAAUGAUUCCUCCAAGUUUA